UACAGAGGUCUCAAGCGUUUGUUCGGAUUCAUUGGGCGUAAAGGGUGCGUAGGCGGCGCGGUAAGUCGGGUGUGAAAUCUCGGAGCUUAACUCCGAAACUGCAUUCGAUACUGCCGUGCUUGAGGACUGGAGAGGAGACUGGAAUUCAUGGUGUAGCAGUGAAAUGCGUAGAGAUCAUGAGGAAGACCAGUGGCGAAGGCGGGUCUCUGGACAGUUCCUGACACUGAGACACGAAGGCCAGGGGAGCAAACGGG
rnacentral:rRNA from 1 species